GCUUAUACUCGACCGUCAGCGGCACGUGCGAUCGCCCGCGAGGGCGGUCACGAAGCCCUGACGAGUAGGAGGGUCGCGGCGGUGAGCGCAGAAGGGCUGGCCGCGAGGCCGUCUGGAGCCGCCGUCGGUGCAGAUCUUGGUGGUAGUAGCAAAUACUCCAGCGAGGCCCUGGAGGACUGACGUGGAGAAGGGUUUCGUGUGAACAGCCGUUGCACACGAGUCAGUCGAUCCUAAGCCCUAGGCGAAAGCCGAUGUCGAUGCGGUGUAGUUUUUACCGAACGUACAUAUAGAUACGUAUGCAGAGCGAGAACACACCCGUCGGGCGAAAGGGAAUCCGGUUCCUAUUCCGGAACCUGGCAGCGGAACCGUCAAUAAGUCGGGC
rnacentral:rRNA from 1 species